rnacentral:rRNA from 1 species
AGUGAAUAGAUACCCCGGUAGUCCUAGCCGUAAACGAUACUCGCUAGGUGUCGGCCACGGUGCGACCGUUGUCGGUGCCGUAGGGAAAGCCGUGAAGCGAGCCACCUGGGAAGUACGGCCGCAAGGCUGAAACUUAAAGGAAUUGGCGGGGGAGCACCACAACGGGUGGAGCUUGCGGUUUAAUUGGAUUCAACGCCGGAAAUCUUACCGGGACCGACAGCGAUAUGAAGGCCAGGCUGAAGACUUUGCCGGAUUAGCUGAGAGGUGGUGCAUGGCCGUCGUCAGUUCGUACUGUGAAAGCAUCCUGUUAAGUCAGGCAACGAGCGAGACCCACGCCCACAGUUGCCAGCGUACUCUCCGGAGUGACGGGUACACUGUGGGGACCGCCGCUGCUAAAGCGGAGGAAGGAAUGGGCAACGGUAGGUCAGUAUGCCCCGAAUAUCCCGGGCUACACGCGAGCUACAAUGGUUGGUACAAUGGGUAUCUACCCCGAAAGGGGAUGGUAAUCUCCUAAAGCCAAUCUUAGUUCGGAUUGAGGGCUGCAACUCGCCCUC